rnacentral:rRNA from 1 species
CAGGUGGUGCAUGGCUGUCGUCAGCUCGUGUCGUGAGAUGUUCGGUUAAGUCCGGCAAAGAGCGCAACCCACAUAUUUAGUUGCCAGCAGGUUAAGCUGGGCACUCUAGAGAAACUGCCCGUGAUAAGCGGGAGGAAGGUGUGGAUGACGUCAAGUCCUCAUGGCCCUUACGGGUUGGGCUACACACGUGCUACAAUGGCAUCAACAAUGGGUUAAUCCCUAAAAGAUGUCUCAGUUCGGAUUGGGGUCUGCAACUCGACCCCAUGAAGUCGGAAUCGCUAGUAAUCGCGUAACAGCAUGACGCGGUGAAUACGUUCCCGGGCCUUGUACACACCGCCCGUCACACCAUGGGAGUUGGUUCUACCCGACGGCCGUGCGCUAACUCUUAGGAGAGGCAGCGGACCACGGUAGGAUCAGCGACUGGGGUGAAGUCGUAACGAGGUAGCCGUAAUCGAAUUUCCCGCGGCCGCCGAAR